AGGCCUGUAGCUCUAACGGCAGAGCAACGGACUCCAAAUCCGUGGGUUGGAGGUUCAAAUCCUCCCAGGCCUG
rnacentral:tRNA from 1 species